CACUAUGAAGCUUUUAGCGUUAACCUUUUAAGUUAAAGAAAGGGAAUUUACUUUCCCCAUAGUGA
rnacentral:tRNA from 1 species